CCCGCGCACACCUUGACCGUCUCUAUGAUGAACGCCUCCAUCAUUGAUCCGUUGCAGGGUGAUUUCCCAGAAGUCAUAGAGGAGUAUUUGGAACAUGGCUGUAUGAAAUGCAUUGCCUUUAAUCGCCGUGGUACCCUUCUCGCGGCUGGGUGCAAUGAUGGAAGUUGUGUUAUUUGGGAUUUCGAAACAAGAGGCAUCUCUAAGAUUCUUCAUGAUAAUGAAUGUUCUUCCCCCAUAACCAGCAUCUGUUGGUCAAAGUAUGGUCAUCGAAUUCUGGUAUCUGCUGCUGACAAAUCAUUAAUUUUGUGGGAUGUUAUGAGUGGUAAGAAGAUAACACGAAUAGUUUUGCAACAAACCCCUCUACAAGCGCGUCUUCAUCCAGGAUCUUCAACACCAUCUCUUUGCUUAGCAUGUCCUCUUUCAUGUGCUCCUAUGAUUGUUGACCUGAAUACAGGAAACACAACUUUGCUUAAGGUUUCUGUGUCAGAGACAAGCAAUGGACUAAUCCCUCCCUCACGCAAUAAGUCUUCUGAUGGAAUCACCUCCUUUACACCAACCGCUGCUUGUUUUAACAAGUACGGGACUCUGGUUUAUUUGGGAAACUCAAAAGGUGAAAUUCUUGUUAUUGAUUACAAAAUUGGUGAAGUGCGUGCUGUAGUCCCAAUCACUGGUGGUUCUGUUGUAAAGAACAUUGUGUUCAGCAGGAAUGGGCAGUAUCUACUCACGAACUCCAAUGAUCGAGUAAUAAGGAUCUAUGAAAACCUUCUGCCUCUGAAAGACGAGGUCAGAACCCUUGAUGAACUGAAUGAGAACUGUGGUGAUGUAAAUAACAGUGAGAAGUUGAAGGCCAUUGGGUCAAAAUGUUUAAUUUUGUUCCGGGAAUUUCAAGAUGCCAUCACAAAGGUACACUGGAAAGCCCCUUGUUUCAGUGGUGAUGGUGAGUGGGUAGUCGGUGGUUCUGCUUGCAAAGGUGAGCACAAGAUUUACAUAUGGGAUAGAGCUGGGCAUCUUGUGAAAAUCCUUGAAGGACCAAAGGAAGCUCUUAUCGAUCUAGCAUGGCAUCCUGUACAUCCUUUUGUUGUAUCUGUUUCCUUGAAUGGCUUUGUUUAUAUAUGGGCAAAAGAUUAUACCGAGAAUUGGAGUGCAUUUGCUCCUGACUUCAAGGAGCUUGAGGAAAAUGAAGAGUAUGUAGAGCGUGAAGAUGAAUUUGAUCUGAUUCCUGACACUGAGAAGGUGAAAGGUCCUGAUGUAAAUGAAGAUGAGGAAGUUGACAUCGUAUCAGUGGAGAAAGAUGCCACUUUCAGUGAUUCUGAUAUGUCUCAAGAAGAGCUAUGUUUCUUGCCAGCAACCCCUAGUCGUGAUCCUCUGGAACAGCAAGACAAGUGUGCAGAAAGUUCUUCAAAGUUGUUGGACAGCAAUAACACUGGAUCCCCUUCAGAAGAAGCUGGACCAAAUGGACUUAUGAUGAAUCACGCAUCCAGUCUUCUUGAAGACGAUGCUGGGCGCUUUAAAAGAAAGAGAAAACCUUCAGAGAAGGUGUUGGAAUUGCAAGCAGAAAAAGUUAAGAAAUCUUCAAAAUCAAGCAAAUUGGCAAAACCCAAGAGCAAAUCUUUGGUUGAUCAAGAUAAUGGUUCAGGCUAGGUUAGCUUUUCGAACAGAUUGCCUUCGACGAGGAAAUAGGUCAGAUGUUUUAAUUAUGAAUCAGGUUCUUUAGCUUACCAAGGCUUGGAUGCCAUGUAAUUCAUGUGGUUAGGGGUGAUGUAUGAUUAUGGAGGGUAUUGAAGAAUAUUUGUAAUGUAUUAUUUUACUCUUAAGUAUUACUAAAGGAAAAUAAAAUUUCAAGAAUAACUUUGUUAGUACCUCUUAAAAUCAUAACCUAUUUUCACUUCCCUUAAAAUACAAAAUCCCUCUAAUGUUAUUAGGGAGAGAUUUUAGCGUCCUUAGUUUCCAUAUUCUCUCUUCGCUGAAUGUUUGAGCUAACGAGAUAAAAUUAGAACAAAGAAAAUUCUCCCUUACCACUCAUUGGUUUCAACUAAGUCUAUUGUUAUUGAUAGAACAAUUUUUUAACCUUCAUUGAUGGUUAUCACAUUUGAAAUAGUUGGUGGAAAUAAGUCAAAGAGCUUGAUCUAUUUAUCAAAAAGGUUAAGUUUUGAUUUCUUAAAAACUUUGUUUAAAAAAAAAUUAGUUAGACUGACUUUAAAAGGACAGUUUACUACACUUAAAAGUCCAACGUGUUUAUAAACACAGUAUAUAUUAUCUGAACGAAAAUGUUUGGUUGAUUUUGAGGUGGACAAAUUGCAUAAAUUGAACUUAUCUAGUAUAUAAUUGAACUAAACUUUUAUAAGUAGUGUGACUGAAUUGAAAUGAUUAUCUUGUAUAGAAUUGCAUAAUGUGAAACAAAGCAAAUAGACUAAUCUGAAUGAUUUAAAUUAUUUAAAAUGUUUGAACUAUUCUCAAUAUGUGCAUGAUCUUAAAUCAUAUUUUUCAAUUUCAUUAGUUAUAAUUCAAUGCAGUUUACACAAUUUAGUAUAGGGGCGUUUAAUUUUUUUUCUUUUUCAAAACGUGAGUUUUUUCAAAUGUAGUUUAGUUUGGUAUAAGUUUAGCUUUUUAACAUAACCUUAGUUUUAAGAAAACAUUCUGAUUUAUUUGAGGGGACUUAUCCAAACGAAGGGGCUUUUUUGGUUGAUUUGGAUUAGAGAGGGAAACCAUGAUGUAUGAGGAAAUGGAUUGAUAACGAGAUAAUGCAAAAUGCCUUGAAGGGUGUCUAUGAAAGUUUUGUAUUCAGUCACCAUAAUGGCGUGAAUCAUGUGUGAAUGUGGAAUUCUAGAAGUUUUCUUUUCAAAUAUAAAGUUGACAUGCAAUCCAUAUGGAUGUCCAUACAAAGAAAUGAACCCAUUUGAAACAAAAGUGUAUUGAUGAUUUGGUUUUGUUAUGAAUUAACCAAGAAGCAGCCUAGGAGAACUUGUGUAUAACUUUAAUUCUAUGCAGUUAGAUGAUAAUUGGAUUAUUGAUAAAGAAUACCUAGAAAGAAGAUGGAGAGGUGCCAAGUAUAAUGAAGGGAACAAAGAUAGUGUGGAAGGCUAUUAUUAUUAUUAUUAUUUUAUCUUAUUAUAGUAAUGAUCUAGAGUUGGAUAGUUUGUUUUUGUUUUUAGUACUUUUUACUAGCUAUAACACUUGUAAUUUUAGCUUAAUUUAUUAGAAUGAGUCUUUCAAUUUGUA